rfam:Legionella massiliensis genome assembly, contig: CONTIG000001
CUCAAUAUUUUUUUGCUGCAAGGUCACGAAGCUUCAGGGACAAUCUAGCCGCGGGCAACCGUAGAUGAAUCCGUAAGGAAUGCGUUGAAUCUGCUAGCACAAAAGCGGAGAGGAGC